rnacentral:rRNA from 1 species
GAUGAACGCUGGCGGCGUGCUUAACACAUGCAAGUCGAACGGGAUCCAAGGGGUGCUUGCACUUUUUGGUGAGAGUGGCGAACGGGUGAGUAACACGUGAGUAACCUGUCCUUUUCUUUGGGAUAAGCAUUCGAAAGGGUGUUUAAUACCUUAUGUUCUGUCUGCCUCGCAUGGGGUGGGUGGGAAAGGCUUUGGCCGGAUUUGGGUGGGCUCGCGGUCUAUCAGCUUGUUGGUGGGGUGAUGGCUUACCAAGGCUUUGACGGGUAGCCGGCCUGAGAGGGGGGGGGGAAAUAGGGGGGGGGAGACCGCCCCGAGGCCAGGGGGGGGGGGAGAGGGGGGGUUUGGUGAAAAAGGGGAGAAGGCGUUAGGAGGCGCGGGCGGGGGGGGGGGGAGGCCUUGGGGUGUUUAAUUUUUUUGGGCUUGGAACAGGGAGUGCAGGGGGGUGUGUGGGGGGGGGGGGUUGAUGGGCGCCGGCAAACUACGGC